rnacentral:rRNA from 1 species
UCGUGGAGUGAUCUGUCUGCUUAAUUGCGUUUCAGAAAAUAGGUUCUUAGAGGUUUUGUUGUAUAGUGUGACCGUAGUUUCGGCUAUGUUGUCCCUAUACUCAGCCCUUGAACCUUGAAGGUAACGAACGUGACCGCAACCUCUUGUUGCCUCUCUUUCAUCUUUUAGAUGAACUGCUGCCUCGUGAUUUUUCUAUUUUUGUUUUUCGAAAGCAAAAAAUAGAAGUCAUGGGGAUUAGUAGAGUGGAGCGCAAACUAGAGGGACCGCCGACCUUUUUAAAACGGAGGAAGGUUGCGGCAAUAACA